ACUUGGAUGUAAAUUAAAAAAUAAAUUUAAAAAAAUUUUUAAAGAAAAAAAAAAAAAACUAUGGCCUUACCAGAGAGGUCUGCAUGGCACUGAACUCAUGCUCCAUUUGAGUAACCACGUAUCCUCAAUUUUCUUUACUCAUUUUAUUAUUUGUUUUAUUCUGCAUGCAUCAUUGAAAGUUGCCGUAGGGUUUAUUGGUAGCAAAGUGAAAUCCACACACAGUACCACGUGUCAAGCUUGAGUAUUUUGGAGAGAGACAAAAUUAGAAAGGAAGAGUCUCAUCUGAAGCAUCAAGCCAACGAUGAGUCAUAUCUAAUGCAGGAGGCCAGGAGAAACAGGUGGCUGGAUGUUACAAGUUGCCACUUGUAAGACAGGAUGAAAAGUGGAUGUAGGUCAGGACAGUAGUUUGGUACUGAGCCUUCAUUGCUCUGCUUGAGUGGGGCCAGCCACAGCUGCAGAGCAUGCUGGGCCAGGUCAUAAAAGCCCCUGGAAGUCAUGAAGAGGUGUGACUUCGUCCUUAGAAAAGAGAGGUCAUUGAAGAGUUUUCAGAGGGAGAAGGGCAAGGUCAGGUUUGUUUCAGAAAGGUGGUGCUGGUGAGCUAGAGUGCCAGCACUGUAUUCUAGCAGAAAUAACAUCCAGGGGCCAGUGGCAAAGACAGGCAUUCCCAAGCUCAGAUGUCAACAAGGCAGAUAAAAAAAAAAAAAAAGUCUGCAGCUCAGAAGUCAUCUGUAGAUUUGAGGGCCAUUAGCCAAACACAGAGAUGAAAUGGAGUCACUCAAGGACAUCUAGACUGGCCAAGGCAUGUAGGAGAGGCAAAGGCUGAUCAUAGCUAGCUUUCAAAAAUGUUCCGUGAAGGAUGGAACAUCCUCAGAGGAGAGAUGGCUUCAGAGCACAUUCUCUGCUAAGACAAACACCAACAAGCAUUUCAACCAACUGCAACGACUUGCAAUAAAUCCUGUAAGCGA